rnacentral:tRNA from 1 species
GUCGGGGUGGCGGAACAGGCAGACGCGCACGGUUGAGGGCCGUGUGGUUCACACCAUGUGGGUUCGAUUCCCAUCCCCGACACCA